CUGCUGCCUCCCGUAGGAGUCUGGGCCGUAUCUCAGUCCCAAUGUGGCCGAUCGACCUCUCAGUCCGGCUACCCAUCGUCGGCUAGGUGGGCCUCUACCCCGCCUACUACCUAAUGGGCCGCGACCCCAUCCCGCGCCGUCGGGGCUUUCCCGCCGCCCCCAUGCGGGGGCCGCGGAGUAUCCGGUAUUAGCCGCCGUUUCCAGCGGUUGUCCCGGAGCGCGGGGCAGGUUGGUCACGUGUUACUCACCCGUUCGCCACUGUAUGUCCGCCCGAGGGCGGUUUAACCG
rnacentral:rRNA from 1 species